GGCCGUGUGGCGUAAUGGCAGCGCAUCUGACUACGAAUCAGGAGGUUGCAGGUUCGACCCCUGUCUCGGUCA
rnacentral:tRNA from 1 species